rnacentral:lncRNA from 1 species
CUAAGUACGAUCUGGAAGUCCACCACCUGUUUUUGACACACAACUUAGUGCACCAAUUACACAUAAUCAGGCUCAUAAACGACGGCGCACCUACGCACAAACUCAAACCCCGCCGCGGGUUACAUCUCUCCCCACACCCCCCAAACUGCAGCGACGCUGCUUAAUAAUUUCAUAACUUUAAAAUUAUAACAACAGUGGUAACAAACAAAAACUCCAGAGGCAUCUAAAUAAAAUUCCCCACAAGUUUUGUAUACAAUUUAUAAUUAAAUUCCAACAUCUAAUUAGCCCAAAAUAGUCCACAAGAUAAACCCUGUAAUCUGUUUUUUUUGUCUUUUGGACAGCGACAUACCCGGAUUCAAACAGCGAUAUCUUUCAAAAUAUAAUUCCAAAUCAAGCGCAUAAGUACUCAUUGGAAAGAUAAGACAAAGCCCUACAUGAUUAUCAUACUGGUUAACACUAAUUAUCCACGAAAAAUUCCCAGAAACUGCUAAUACUACUGUUCUUCACCCACCUGAAAAAUCUGUUUUUUUGGACAGCAACAUAACCGGAUUCAAACAACGAUAUCUCCUAAAUUAUAACUCCGAAUCGAGCGCAUAAGUACUCGUUGGAAAGGUAUGACAAAGAUCUACAUGAUUUUCAUACUGGUUAACACUAAUUACCCACGAAAAAUUCCCAGAAACUGCUAAUACUACUGUUCUUCACCCACCUGAAAAAUCUGUUUUUUUGGACAGCAACAUAACCGGAUUCAAACAACGAUAUCUCCUAAAUUAUAACUCCGAAUCGAGCGCAUAAGUACUCGUUGGAAAGGUAUGACAAAUCUCUACAUGAUUCUCCCACUGAUCCCCACUAAUUGCCCACGAAAAAUUCCCAGAAAUCUAUAGAACUACUGCUGUUCGUUCACCCACUAAAUUUCUGGACAGCACCUCUACCAAAUUGCAUAGGUAAACAUGUAACCAAUUGGAUUGUAGCACAAAAACAUAGAUAACUUAAGAUCACCUUGAGUUUCACCUUUUUCCUCCUUCCUUCCUCCCACCAAUUCUCCAAUUGAAACUUGCACCCACACGAAGAAGAUCCGACGAGGAAGAACGACACUUGGAGAAGAGGAGAUGGGGGGGGGGUGGCGGCUAGGGUUGAGGAGAUGGCUGCUGCAAACAAACUUGAGAAUGGAGGGGGCGGCUGCAGCACUUGGG